UACGCAGGGUGCGAGCGUUAAUCGGAAUUACUGGGCGUAAAGCGUGCGCAGGCGGUUUUUUAAGACAGGCGUGAAAUCCCCGGGCUUAACCUGGGAACGGCGCUUGUGACUGGAAGGCUAGAGUACGGCAGAGGGGGGUGGAAUUCCACGUGUAGCAGUGAAAUGCGUAGAUAUGCGGAGGAACACCGAUGGCGAAGGCAAUCCCCUGGACCUGUACUGACGCUCAUGCACGAAAGCGUGGGGAGCAAACAGG
rnacentral:rRNA from 1 species